rnacentral:rRNA from 1 species
AUGAACGCUAGCUACAGGCUUAACACAUGCAAGUCGAGGGGAAACGGCAUUAAGUGCUUGCACUUUUUGGACGUCGACCGGCGCACGGGUGAGUAACGCGUAUCCAACCUGCCCCUUACCAGGGAAUAACCCGUUGAAAGACGGACUAAUGCCCUAUGCAGUCCUUUGACGGCAUCAGAUUAGGACUAAAGAUUCAUCGGUAUGGGAUGGGGAUGCGUCUGAUUAGCUUGUUGGCGGGGUAACGGCCCACCAAGGCAUCGAUCAGUAGGGGUUCUGAGAGGAAGGUCCCCCACAUAGGAACUGAGACACGGUCCUAACUCCUACGGGAGGCAGCAGUGAGGAAUAUUGGUCAAUGGGCGCUAGCCUGAACCAGCCAAGUAGCGUGCAGGACGACGGCCCUAUGGGUUGUAAACUGCUUUUAUGCGGGGAUAAAGUCACCCACGUGUGGGUGUUUGCAGGUACCGCAUGAAUAAGGACCGGCUAAUUCCGUG